rnacentral:tRNA from 4 species
GGAUAGAUGUCCGAGCGGUUUAAGGAACCGGUCUUGAAAACCGGCGCUACAAGAAAUUGUACCGUGGGUUCGAAUCCCACUCUAUCCGCCA